rnacentral:rRNA from 1 species
UGUGUGUCGUAGUUAACGCGUUAAACAGGGCGCCUGGGAAGUACGGCCGCAAGGCUAAAACCCAAAGGAAUUGACGGGGACCCGCACAAGCAGUGGAGCGCCUGGUUUAAUUCGAUGGUCAGCGAAGAACCUCACCUAGGCUUGAACUGUAGCUGCACGCUCCCAGAAACGGGAGAAUCCUUCGAGGGUGCUACAGAGGUGCUGCAUGGCUGUCGUCAGCUCGUGUCGUGAGAUGUAGGGUUAAGUCCCACAACGAGCGCAACCCCUAUUCAGUGUUAUAAUUACUCUGAAGACUGCCCUGUCCAAACGGGGAGGAAGGAGGGGACGACGUCCAGUCAUCAUGUCCCUUAUGUCUAGGGCUACACAGACGCUACAAUGGCCGGUACAAUGGGUUGCCAAACCGCGAGGUGGAGCCAAUCCCAUCAAAGCCGGUCCCAGUUCGGAUUGCAGUCUGCAACUCGACUGCAUGAAGUUGGAAUUGCUAGUAAUCGCGAAUCAGCACGUCGCGGUGAAUACGUUCUCGGGUCUUGUACACACCGCCCGUCAGGGCACGGGAGUCGCUCUUGCUCGAAGU